GCGGUGGAAAAGAAACCAAAAGGGAUUUCGAUAGUAACGGCGAGCGAAAUCGAAACAGCUCAGCGCCAAGUCCUGUCGUCAUAAGGCGUAUAGGAGAUGCGGCGUGAAUGUAGCAAUGCAUCGCAUUGUGCCUCUGUAACGCAAGUUCUUCUGACAAGGACUUUUUCCAUAGCGGGUGCUAGGCCCAUAGCUGUUGCAAGGCUACUAUGCGCAUAUUGUUGCAUGCUAGAGUCAGGUUGCUUGAAAGUGCAGCCCAAAGUAGGUGGUAAACUCCACCUAAAGCUAAAUAUUACUGCGAGACCGAUAGCAAACAAGUACCGUGAGGGAAAGUUGCAAAGAACUUUGAAGAGAGAGUUCAAUAGGACGUGAAACCGUUUGUAGGUAAACGGGUGGAACCACGAAGUUUGCCGGAAAGAGGAUUCAACUGUUCCGUGAGUGGCAGCUGUUGGUGUUCUAUUCAGGUUUUCGUUGGAAAACAGGCACCAGUGGCAUUCAAUGUCGCUCUCGGGCGGUGCAUUUCUUCACUUCCGUGCUAAAGCCAUGACUAGUUGGAAAGCUGAAGCGUCCGUAUGCGAGAGUUGCAGGCAGGUAACUAGAUACGUCUCCGUACGUAUGCUAGAGUUAUAGCCGGUAGCUCGGUUACACUUACUUGCUUAAGUUAACCGACUAGUGAAAGUUCUCCGUCUAUGCGGAGUAUGCAAGUAGAGCGGGCAGUGCAGUUUCGUUGUCGAGACAAGUGUUGAUUUUGUAGGCAUUUUUGUGUUUGCACGAAAAAACUGCAUUAUCAAUCUGUCUAUGCUGGCGAUGAUAUUUCUGUCUGUUCCGUGAACAAUCGAUGGCCAGUAGGUCGGUAUCCACCUGACCC
rnacentral:rRNA from 1 species